AGGAGACUAUUUUCGAACUUGGAGUUUGAGUUGCAGACUUGGAGUUUGAUUUGCAGCCUUCGAGUUCGAUUUGGAGUUCGAUCUGCAGACUUGAAGAGAUGUUCCUGUUGCAGUCCAGGUCGAGAGUCUUCACUGUUUUUCCUAUCUGUGUCUUCAAUCAGAACUUUGAUUGCCAAUUCAAUUUCUCGCCGAAUUUCCAUCUGUUCUUGUUCCAUUGGCUAGUUGUAACCAGGCACUCCAAACUCCCUGUAGGCCAAAUAUCUACCAUCACUGAGUUUCACUCUAGGUGAAGUGACAGAGGACCACCAGGUGAACCUCAUAUUUUAGGAGGGGGAGGCUUUAGUGCCUGAUAUGCCUACCCAAGAAAAUCCAUUGUCAAAGCUAGUACUACUGGGGCAUCAACCAUAGAAACUAUAAGGUAUCAACAGAUUUUCUCUAACCAUAGGUCCAUAGGAAAUUUUAUUUUCUAGGAAACCAGAACUUUCAGUUAACUGAAACCAUUGAUUACAGCAGAGUUAAUGAAAAUGAACAUUCAUACGUUGAUUUAUGUUGAGUCUAGCCAAUAUGAAUGAAAAAGGGUGACUGAGGAACAUCAUGUUACCAUCCUGCAUGCCUUUUCUAUUUUGUUAAGAUCAGCUUUUAUACUAGUGUAUCAUGUCAUUUGGCCAAAUGCUUGUCAUUCUUUUAUACUAAUAAUGUGGUAUAUAUAAGAGUAAUAAUUACAUCAAUAUAGGUCUUUUAUACGUAAGGCUUACGCCUUACGCCUCAAGGCGAACGCCUUCUUGAGGCUCACCGAAAAACGCCUCGGCCUACG